rnacentral:rRNA from 1 species
AGAGUUUGAUCAUGGCUCAGAAUCAACGCUAGCGGCGUGCCUCAGACAUGCAAGUCGAACGCGAACGCUUCCUUCGGGAAGCUAUUAGAGUGGCGCACGGGUGAGUAACACGUAAGUAAUCUACCUUUGGGUGGGGAAUAACAGUCGGAAACGGCUGCUAAUACCGCAUAAUGCAGCGGCUCCGUAUGGAGACAGUUGUUAAAGAAUUUAUUCGCCUAAAGAGGAGCUUGCGGUAGAUUAGCUAGUUGGUGAGGUAAUGGCUCACCAAGGCAACGAUCUAUAGCCGACCUGAGAGGGUGGUCGGUCACACUGACACUGAAUAACGGGUCAGACUCCUACGGGAGGCAGCAGUCGGGAAUUUUGGGCAAUGGGCGAAAGCCUGACCCAGCAACGCCGCGUGAAGGAUGAAGUAUUUCGGUAUGUAAACUUCGUAAAAAUGGGAAGAAUCAAUGACGGUACCAUUUGUAAGGUCCGGCUAACUACGUGCCAGCAGCCGCGGUAAUACGUAGGGACCAAGCGUUGUUCGGAUUUACUGGGCGUAAAGGGUGCGUAGGUGGUUUAUCAAGUCAGUUGUGAAAUCUUAAGGCUUAACCUUAAGCGGUCAACUGAAACUGAUAAACUAGAGUGCAGAAGGGGCAAUCGGAAUUCUUGGUGUAGCGGUGA